UCCGUAGGUGAACCUGCGGAGGGAGGGUUACCGAGUUUACAACUCCCAAACCCCUGUGAACAUACCAAUUGUUGCCUCGGCGGAUCAGCCCGCUCCCGGUAAAACGGGACGGCCCGCCAGAGGACCCCUAAACUCUGUUUCUAUAUGUAACUUCUGAGUAAAACCAUAAAUAAAUCAAAACUUUCAACAACGGAUCUCUUGGUUCUGGCAUCGAUGAAGAACGCAGCAAAAUGCGAUAAGUAAUGUGAAUUGCAGAAUUCAGUGAAUCAUCGAAUCUUUGAACGCACAUUGCGCCCGCCAGUAUUCUGGCGGGCAUGCCUGUUCGAGCGUCAUUUCAACCCUCAAGCCCAGCUUGGUGUUGGGACUCGCGAGUUAAACCGCGUUCCCCAAAUUGAUUGGCGGUCACGUCGAGCUUCCAUAGCGUAGUAGUAAAACCCUCGUUACUGGUAAUCGUCGCGGCCACGCCGUUAAACCCCAACUUCUGAAUGUUGACCUCGGAUCAGGUAGGAAUACCCGCUGAACUUAAGCAUAUCAAUAAGCGGAGGA
rnacentral:rRNA from 1 species